UACGAAGGGUGCAAACGUUGCUCGGAAUUAUUGGGCGUAAAGCGCGCGUAGGCGGCUUUUCAAGUCGAUUGUGAAAUCCCCGGGCUUAACCUGGGAACUGCAGUCGAGACUGUCUAGCUAGAGUAUGGGAGAGGGAAGUGGAAUUUCAGGUGUAGCGGUGAAAUGCGUAGAUAUCAGGAGGAACACCGAUGGCGAUGGCAGGUCUCUGGGUCACUACUGACGCUGAGAAGCGAAAGCAUGGGGAGCGAACAGG
rnacentral:rRNA from 1 species